AUAAUGUCAUUUGAGCAUUACUACAAGCGAUUAACCGGGAUUUACGUCAUUCAACCUCAAGUUUUGGUUUACAGAUAUGGUUGUUUCAAAUUCAUUACUACAAGAUAAAUUACAUAACAAUCAUGUCAAAACUCAAACUUGCUCCCCUUUGCACCCAGUUCUACAUCCAUUUCAACAGACCAUUACGCGCUCAUUUCCUAACAGACGAAAUACGACGAAACAUGACGUGUAAAAAAAAAGAGAUAUCAUAGAUGACCCAAGGAAGGUCUAAGUGUAAAGAAGAAUGCCUUAUUUCAAAACUCUGAAACAUGAAAGUCCAAACCGUCCAAAAGGUUUUGGCCGACUGCAACUUGUGACAAAUAAACCAGAAUAACAGAAACUAGUUGAUAUUAACAUUGCUCUAUGAAUAUAAGACACUAGAAGAUAAUUGAAGUCAUAAAGAGGGACCGUGUAUGGUUCUUUUCAUCCCUUAAUUAUUACCAUUUAACUUUUUAAAUAAGACAUAAGGUUUCGUUUAGACAUCUAAAGGAAAAGGGAAGGGUAAUACAAAAUAUCAAAAUACACCAUCGCAAAACCAAAAUCAUCCAUAAGCCUUGGAUUACCAUCACUUUACUGAGAGUAACUGCAGUGAAAGCCUAUUAGUGAGCACCAUACCUAGAUUAAAAAAACCUGCAUCAGUAAAAUCAUUAUGGGACCACACGUUCUAAACACAAUUUCAGAUUAUAGUACAGACAAAAUUGAUACCCAUCACACAUUUGGUCCCCACAAAAUCGAAAGAAAGAUUCGCUCUAACAAAUUGGAAAUCCUUCCAAAUUCUGACAGUAAUGCUCACACGUUUCAGAGGAUUUUCCUUUGAAGAAUUAUCCUCAAAUUUGUGUGUGAACACUUGAUUUCCCUCCUAUAAAAGGACACGUCCAAUCAUUGAAUAAACCGAGGAGGAUACCCUACCGUUACCCUACUGAAAUCUCAUACCAACUUGUACCUAAAGCUCAAAAUACUAAGGGGGACUCGGAGUUUAUCAUCAAAACUCUGAGUAAACCGAGCUAAGCCCUAGCAAUCAAAUCAAGCGCAGAAGUAAGAGGAAGGAGAGACCGAAAACUAAGCAAAAAAGGAGAAGAGCUCACACACAGAAUUGAAAAGACACUUACUUGAGGUAAAAUUCGUCGGAGUAUCGUCGGAGUCGCAAAACUCCGGCGUCAUCCUUCACCCCUUUAUUCAACCUUUCCAAGGCAUUACAGCUCCAUGUAGUCGCCGAUUGCAUGUGUGAUUUGAUGAUUCGUUACUUAUUCAUGAUUGUUUGAGUUAAGUCUGGACUAUUGUAGAUUUGUAAGAAGCUUUGCUAUUUUUGGUUUGAGUUGGUUAUGUUUUUUGUUUUGUUGUGGGUUUUGUUUCUUUUUGUUGAAAUAGGAAAUCGGUUUGCUCGGAUCUACUGAGAUUUUGAUGAUGAACACCAUGAGGUAUUCAUCUUUGGUUCUGGAAUUUUAGGUGGUUCGUUUUUUUUGUUUAAAUUGGGCUUUGGUUUUGUUUUGUUGGAAGAAGAUGAAUGGAUUUCAGUUUGCAGGAGAAAGUUUUGUUCGGUUGAGGUGUGUAGGUAGGGAGAGAGGGAGUGAACGAAUGAGGUGAGGUUAUCUUUUUUCACUGUGUUUGUUUUUAUGCUUUUAUUCUAAGUCGUACCAAGUGGUGAGAUGGGGAUACGUGUAGGAAACUAAUGAUGCAUGUUGUUUUCUUUUAUUGCAUCGCUUUUCUCGAAAUCAUUUAUGGUAGUGGUUGGAAUAUGGACCGUUAAUGGUGAAUUAUCCAUUUUUGUUUCGUUCCCCCACGCGUCUGGUUGGUUGGUGCAAAGGAUUUGUUUGACUCCCUUCUAUAUUUGGGCCAAAUCCGGGUUUGGGUCUUCCUGGAGGGCCAACCCGGUGCAUUUUCCCCUUUUGGGUUGUAUCCACGGUAGCAUUUGGGUUGGAUCUAGUUUAGAUCCUUUAACUUCUUUUCUUUUCUUUUCUUUAGUCAUUUUCUUGUUUUAUUUGUUUAUAGAAUUAAACUAAUUAAUUAAAUUUCUGAUAAUUAUGAAAUUCUAAUUAGGUUAGUUAAGGAAUUAAUUUUGUUUUUAUUCAA
rnacentral:lncRNA from 1 species